rnacentral:misc_RNA from 1 species
AAAGUGGUAAGCAAUUAUCUGAUCUCCGAUGAAUCUGUUUACUAUUCUGAUAUCCUUCUUGUUUCUGUUUGUUAGUAUCGAUUCUAAGCAGUACCUGGUUCAAACUUUAGAUGACCCUGAUCUUGAAGCAAAACCUCCCAGUUGGGAUAAAACAGCUUAUGCUAAAAAUUCUACUCAAGGCGAUGAUUAUGGUUUACCUUUUGGUCCCUGGGCAGGCUGAUCAAAAAAUAAGAAAUAUAUGAAAUGCAUUGAUGAAUUUUUCA